rnacentral:rRNA from 1 species
CAAUGGGCGAAAGCCUGACCCAGCAACGCCGCGUGUGUGAUGAAGGCCUUCGGGUCGUAAAGCACUUUUCUGGGAGAUGAGAAAGGACAGUAUCCCAGGAAUAAGUCUCGGCUAACUACGUGCCAGCAGCCGCGGUAAAACGUAGGAGGCGAGCGUUAUCCGGAUUCACUGGGCGUAAAGCGCGUGCAGGUGGCGCGGUAAGUUGGGCGUGAAAUCUCCCGGCUCAACUGGGAGAGGUCGUCCAAUACUACCGUGCUUGAGAGCAGAAGAGGAAGAUGGAAUUCCCGGUGUAGUGGUGAAAUGCGUAGAUAUCGGGAGGAACACCAGUGGCGAAGGCGAUCUUCUGGUCUGUUUCUGACACUCAGACGCGACAGCUAGGGUAGUAAACGGGAUUAGAGACCCCGGUAAUCCUAGCCGUAAACGAUGUGAACUUGGCGUUGGUGGGUUAAACUCCAUCAGUGCCGUAGCAAACGCGAUAAGUUCACCGCCUGGGGACUACGGCUGCAAGGUUA